UACAGAGGGUGCAAGCGUUACUCGGAAUUACUGGGCGUAAAGCGCACGUAGGUGGCUUGAUAAGUUGGGUGUGAAAUCCCCGGGCUUAACCUGGGAAUUGCAUUCAAGACUGUCUUGCUAGAGUGUGGAAGAGGGAAGCGGAAUUCCAGGUGUAGCGGUGAAAUGCGUAGAUAUCUGGAGGAACAUCAGUGGCGAAGGCGGCUUCCUGGUCCAACACUGACACUGAGGUGCGAAAGCGUGGGGAGCAAACAGG
rnacentral:rRNA from 1 species